rnacentral:tRNA from 1 species
GGCACUAUAGCUCAGUGGUUGAGAGCACCUUAGAACCAAUGAGGAGGUCUGGGGUUCAAAUCCCCAUAGAGCCA